rnacentral:rRNA from 1 species
UGGGGAAUAUUGGACAAUGGGCGCAAGCCUGAUCCAGCCAUGCCGCGUGAGUGAUGAAGGCCCUAGGGUUGUAAAGCUCUUUCACCGGUGAAGAUAAUGACGGUAACCGGAGAAUAAGCCCCGGCUAACUUCGUGCCAGCAGCCGCGGUAAUACGAAGGGGGCUAGCGUUGUUCGGAUUUACUGGGCGUAAAGCGCACGUAGGCGGACUUUUAAGUCAGGGGUGAAAUCCCGGGGCUCAACCCCGGAACUGCCUUUGAUACUGGAAGUCUUGAGUAUGGUAGAGGUGAGUGGAAUUCCGAGUGUAGAGGUGAAAUUCGUAGAUAUUCGGAGGAACACCAGUGGCGAAGGCGGCUCACUGGACCAUUACUGACGCUGAGGUGCGAAAGCGUGGGGAGCAAACAGG